rnacentral:rRNA from 1 species
AGAGUUUGAUCCUGGCUCAGAAUCAACGCUGGCGGCGUGCCUAACACAUGCAAGUCGAACGCGAAAGUGGAGCAAUCCAUGAGUAGAGUGGCAAACGGGUGAGUAACACGUGGGUGACCUGCCUUCGAGUGGGGGAUAACGUCCCGAAAGGGACGCUAAUACCGCAUAAUAUACCGCCUUUUAAGAGGGGGAUAUCAAAGCUGGGGACCGCAAGGCCUGGCGCUUGAAGAGGGGCCCGCGCCUGAUUAGCUAGUUGGUGGGGUAAUGGCUCACCAAGGCAACGAUCAGUAUCCGGCCUGAGAGGGCGGACGGACACACUGGGACUGAGACACGGCCCAGACUCCUACGGGAGGCAGCAGUGGGGAAUUGUUCGCAAUGGGCGCAAGCCUGACGACGCAACGCCGCGUGGAGGAUGAAGACCUUCGGGUCGUAAACUCCUUUCGAUCGAGACGAAUGGCCCCUGGGUUAAUAGCCCGGGGGAGUGACGGUACCGAGAGAAGAAGCCCCGGCUAACUCCGUGCCAGCAGCCGCGGUAAUACGGGGGGGGCAAGCGUUGUUCGGAAUUACUGGGCGUAAAGGGCUCGUAGGCGGCCAACUAAGUCAUACGUGAAAUCCCUCGGCUUAACCGGGGAACUGCGUCUGAUACUGGAUGGCUUGAGUUCGGGAGAGGGAUGCGGAAUUCCAGGUGUAGCGGUGAAAUGCGUAGAUAUCUGGAGGAACACCGGUGGCGAAGGCGGCAUCCUGGACCGAUACUGACGCUGAGGAGCGAAAGCCAGGGGAGCAAACGGGAUUAGAUACCCUGGUAGUCC